rnacentral:misc_RNA from 1 species
UCCGGUUUAACACCGGCAGUCCUCUCAGAGUGCCCAACUUAAUGGUGGCAACUAAGAGCAAGGGUUGCGCUCGUUGCGGGACUUAACCCAACAUCUUACGACACGAGCUGACGACAGCCAUGCAGCACCUAUCUCCCUGUCCCCGAAGGGAACACGACAUCUCUGCCGCUGUCAGGGGAUGUUAAGCCCAGGUAAGGUUCUGCGCGUUGCUUCGAAUUAAACCACAUACUCCACCGCUUGUGCGGGCCCCCGUCAAUUCCUUUGAGUUUUAGUCUUGCGACCGUACUCCCCAGGCGGGAUACUUAAUGCGUGAGCUACGGUACCCAGGAGGUUAACAUCCCGGACACCUAGUAUCCAUAGUUUACGGCGUGGACUAC